AUGGACUUCAUUAGCCAAUUAGGACAUCUGAAGAUUCCAAAUCAGAAUAAUGGGUUUCUGGAGAGAAACCCUGGUUAUCGCUUGCUUGAUAUUCGGACUCUUGGAGUUGUCGUCUGCUCUGCUAGAGCCAGCGCCAUUUCCAGACGCUUUACGAGAAUGUUACGAGUUCCGAUCGUUCAACUUGACACCAUCAGACCAGGUCGCCAGCCGUAUACAGACUUCUUGUUACCGACACUACCAGAGGGAGUCAACUACAUCAAUGGGCUGUUCAGGCAAGUUUUCAAUGAGGCUCGUCACAUCGCUAAUUACAACAAAAAGUCCAAGCGACAUAAGCGACAGGCGAUGUUUCCCGGAAGAUACAGACAGGAAGUUAGGAGUCCGGGCGGGGCCUAUCAACGUUACGCUAACUGCAUUCUUCGGCUACAGAGAGAGUCUGUGGAGCCACCCCAAGCGGGUCGUAACACCUACCAGACCUUGGCCGUCCUACACUCGGGGGAGGUAUUAGCAUACGCCCACGGAGGACCAGCGUUUAUCCCUUGGCACAGAAUUUAUCUCAUCCUGUUGGAGACUGCAUGUGGGUCGCCUAUACCUUACUGGGACUCCACGGUUGAUCACGAUAUGAUGGACCCCACCAUGUCUAUUCUGUGGAGCGAACAGUUCUUCGGAAAUGGCGAUGGUGACGUCAUGACUGGGCCAUACCAGAGCAUCAGAACGAUACUCGGGGAACCUCUCGUGCGAAAUAUUGGAACAGGUCAGAGUCCCCUAUUCACUAAAGAGGGACUCCAAGCUGUACUGAGUCGCCGAAGAUAUUCAGAAAUAGUUGAGCCUAAACAGGGCGCAGAAUACAUCUUCAGUCUGGAAGGCCAUCACAAUGGUCCGCACACGUGGGUAGGGGGGCAUUUGGCACUCACCAAUACGGCCGCUUACGAUCCCAUAUUCUUUAACCACCACGCCUUUAUUGAUCACGUUUAUGAACUAUUCAGACAACAACAAAUUCGUUUUCAAAUCAAUCCAGAGGUGGACUAUCCGUUACAAACUCCACCAGGGCACGCUGCCAAUGACUUCAUAGAUUUCAGACCAUACACCAGACCUCUGCGAAAUAUUGAGGGUCUGUCCAAUCUUAUUGCAGGCAUGGUAAUGUAUGAACCUCUUCCAAACUGUAUGAAUAGAUGCAAUGGCAGUCCGUUCCUAUUUUGUGACCAAAGAAGAUUUGUCUGUGUAUCCCGUCCCCGUAUGACAGCAAUGGCGCCUGGAGGUGCACAGGGCUUCGGACUCAGCAGUCAGCCAGGCCAAGCUCCCGCCAGUCAGAAUGUUCCGUCUGUGUCACGUGCUAGUGCACAGGCACGUGGUCCCAUCCAAGGAGGUCCAAGUUUCCGACCAGCUCCAUUAACUGAUAGCCGAAAUCGUCCGGAUACUAUUGGCAGUGCUCCUGCUGCACCUCAGGUAUUAAUGGCCGGAAUGCAAGCCAGAGCUGGCGGACAAGGACGAAAACGUAGAGCAGCAACCGACUUGCCACAAAACAAGACGUCUGUACAUCAAGAUGGCAGCGCGCAACAGGUCUCCUCACUUCAGCGAUCCCUAACCAACACGUUUAUCAUUGACGGAGUGGCCGAUCCUAAACGAUGGGUGUAUGUUUCAGUUCGUGUAUUCUACAACAGAUCAAACAAUAUAGAUGGGAAAGACCCUACAAUCCAUGCAAACAGUCCGAGAGAAAUCUCAAAAGAAUCCUGUCAUGGCCCAAAUUCUGGAGCAUCUAAGGUAUUUAUCUCUUCAAAUGGAUUGGACUACGCAGGAGUCUACAAUGAGUUUGCAAUUGUUGAUGAGAGACAACCUAUUUCAAUUACAACAACAGCAAUUGGAGUGAAGAAUCCGGAUUACGGCGAGGCAGAGACUUUAUUUACUGCCUACGACUCCUGCGGGCGUCCAUGUCGACCCCUUUGCUUGGCAUCGAGCCAAGGCAAGCAAACUUAUAAGCCAUGUUCUGCAGUUUUUAAGGUGUCAUCUGCUUUACCAAAAAUGUUCCAUCUUUCUUACCGAGACGCAAUUUUUGGUGGCGUCCAAGCUGAUAAUUUGAUUGAAUUUUUUGGCAGGGACACUACGCCUCCUAUUACAUUUGUUUGUGACAAUUCAAAAUUCUGGCCAUGGGAAUACUAGUCAUCAUAUUUUGAGUAAAUAUAUGGUGCUUUGCUGUAAGGCCUUUUCUAGAGAAUUUUAUUCUUAUAUAUGUACUGCAUAAUCUUGUUUGAAAAAAUCUUUAAACUUUCACGAAUUAAUUUGUACAUGACAGACUGUGGCGAUUGUUUAAG
rnacentral:sRNA from 1 species